UAAUACGGAGGGUGCGAGCGUUGUCCGGAAUCACUGGGCGUAAAGGGCGCGUAGGCGGUUCGUUAAGUCGCUGGUGAAAUCCCGGGGCUCAACUCCGGGGCUGCCGGCGAGACUGGCGGGCUCGAGCACGGUAGAGGCAGAUGGAAUUCCCGGUGUAGCGGUGGAAUGCGUAGAUAUCGGGAAGAACACCGGUGGCGAAGGCGUUCUGCUGGGCCGUUGCUGACGCUGAGGCGCGACAGCGUGGGGAGCAAACA
rnacentral:rRNA from 1 species